UACGUAGGGGGCUAGCGUUGUCCGGAUUUAUUGGGCGUAAAGAGCGUGUAGGCGGCCAGGUAGGUCUGGUGUGAAAACUCGAGGCUUAACCUCGAGAUGUCAUCGGAAACCAUCUGGCUAGAGUCCGGAAGAGGAGAGUGGAAUUCCCGGUGUAGCGGUGAAAUGCGCAGAUAUCGGGAAGAACACCCGUGGCUAAGGCGGCUCUCUAGUACGGUACUGACGCUGAGACGCGAAAGCGUGGGGAGCGAACAGG
rnacentral:rRNA from 1 species